AAGCAUAAGAAAGAAUGGGAGUGACAAGUUAGGCCCUCCCUAUGCAACAAUGCGAGGUGAAUAACUAUGCAUUGGGCCGGUGGCGUUGUCUUCUGAGUAUGAGGGUACCUCUGAGUAUGAGGAUGGGUGUUGGCCUUGUGGGACCACUAGACUAUGGCAUAGUGGCCAGAAACCUACCAGAGUGAGCACCUAGAUCCCUAACAACCAGUACUAUCUGCUAACGUGGACCCAUGUAGAAUGGAGUCUGAGAACGUAUGCCUCUGCGCGGCCGGGUCGUGGACCCUAUUAGACUAGAGUCUGAGAACGUAUGCCUCUGUGUGGCCAGAUAGUGGAUCCAUUUAGAAUAGCGACUGAAAACGUAUACGGACCGGAAUAAGUAAAAGUGACCUACCCCACAGUUGGACAAGAGGCAAGAAAGGCAAAUGCUGCCAGGAAGGACGAGCUCCCCGGCAGGACAAUGGUUGGAUGAAGCAUGCCACCCAGAUAAGCAAAACCUGGGCCUACACUAUAGAGAAGGGAAACCGAGGAGGGUAUAGAAUCAUGGUAAAAAUAAGUACAAAACCAUGACCAACCCAGAAAAGACCAAAGGUUCAGAGCCAUCUGGCGAUCCAGGUCAAGGGACAGAGACCCAGUAACAAGAGUAUACCAGCGAGUACCUAAGAGGCGUAAUAGAGCGAACCUCAACGCUGAAAAACGCCAAUUAAGUGAAUGGGAUAGGCAUACACCAGACGAGCGAGCAGGGGAGAGUCACUAGAAAUAGCAAAAUACACGUUGCUAAGUCACAUAUACCCACAAUACAAUGACAACCAGCUAUUAGUAUAGUAAGUGACAUACCGUAAUAAUUUAACAUGUGUGAGAAAUAUGCACCCAUGACAUAUACCGGAUUAUGAAAUGUGAAAACAUAAUGCACUCGGAGCAUAAUUUUUUU